AAUGCCUAGGAAUCUGCCUGGUAGUGGGGGAUAACGUUCGGAAACGGACGCUAAUACCGCAUACGUCCUACGGGAGAAAGCAGGGGACCUUCGGGCCUUGCGCUAUCAGAUGGGCCUAGGUCGGAUUAGCUAGUUGGUGAGGUUAUGGCUCACCAAGGCGACGAUCCGUAACUGGUCUGAGAGGAUGAUCAGUCACACUGGAACUGAGACACGGUCCAGACUCCUACGGGAGGCAGCAGUGGGGAAUAUUGGACAAUGGGCGAAAGCCUGAUCCAGCCAUGCCGCGUGUGUGAAGAAGGUCUUCGGAUUGUAAAGCACUUUAAGUUGGGAGGAAGGGUUGUAGAUUAAUACUCUGCAAUUUUGACGUUACCGACAGAAUAAGCACCGGCUAACUCUGUGCCAGCAGCCGCGGUAAUACAGAGGGUGCAAGCGUUAAUCGGAAUUACUGGGCGUAAAGCGCGCGUAGGUGGUUUGUUAAGUUGGAUGUGAAAUCCCCGGGCUCAACCUGGGAACUGCAUUCAAAACUGACUGACUAGAGUAUGGUAGAGGGUGGUGGAAUUUCCUGUGUAGCGGUGAAAUGCGUAGAUAUAGGAAGG
rnacentral:rRNA from 1 species